rnacentral:piRNA from 1 species
UGAGAAGUGCCAUUGCAUCUUGGAAUCUUG